UCUAAAAUUAUACGACCAUCUGCCUAUGCAAGCAAUGGAUAAUUAUAUCUAGUUUCAAUUCCCGGUUGUAGUCAUUUGGUUUCCAUGGCAUCGUUAAUAAAGGCGAAAUGAUUGUGUGAAAAGUAAAAUCGCAAGAUAUGAUGGGAGGCAACUCAAAUACUCUUAGUGAUAAAGACUGUUCACAGCUACAUAUACUGGAACCAGCAUGGAAAUUUCAGCGAAACCGACUAACAUUUGAAGAGGUUAACAAUGUGUUCCAAGCUGUUCAUGGCAUGAGUUGCUGUCAUCAUUGCAUAGUAUACAAUAAUUUCCGUAUUGGUAAGAAGGUCCGCGACUUAAUAAUAUGUGGCUUAUCAUGGAUCCAACAUCCAUUCAGGAUUUCAUAUCAGCAAGAAGUUUUCGUUGACAGUCUUGUGACAAAAGAGAAACAAUAAACACAUUUUUUACUAUUAUAACUAUG
rnacentral:misc_RNA from 1 species